AUGACUGAGAGCAGAACACACACAAUCUUCAUCAUCAUCAUCAUCAUCAUCACACCAGACUCAACUACAGCUAUGAUCAACAUCUGCAUCUGCAUCUGGACGCUCACACUGCUCGCUCGAGAGUGUAGAGGACAGAUCACUGUAACUCAGAGUCCAUCAGUAUCAGCUCAAGCAGGACAACCAGUCUCUAUAACCUGCAAAACCAGCAGUGCAGUGUAUAAUGGCAAUUAUUUAGCCUGGUAUCAGCAGAGACCUGGAGAAGCUCCUAAACUCCUGAUAUAUUAUACAAGCACACUCCAGUCAGGAACUCCAUCUAGAUUCAGUGGCGGUGGAUCUGGCAGUGAUUUUACUCUGAGCAUCAGUGGAGUCCAGACUGAAGAUGCUGGAGAUUAUUACUGUCAGAGUUACCACAGUGGUGGAGUGUUCACACAGUGAUAAAGCGCCGUACAAAAACCUGCUGUUCACAGUGACUGCACUCAUUCAGCUGAGAGACACUGCAGCUGCUGAUGGAGGAACACACACUAGCAAAGUUCAUUAAGACCUUAAAUGUUAACACACAGUCCUCAGUGUCUUCAGUCCUCUUGUCUGUGUUUGUUUCAGAUCUGUUUAAGAGAGUUUGGAUGUUUCCAGAUUUCCUCAUGUUUAUUCACUGC